GGUUAAGCGACUAAGCGUACACGGUGGAUGCCCUGGCAGUCAGAGGCGAUGAAGGACGUGCUAAUCUGCGAUAAGCGUCGGUAAGGUGAUAUGAACCGUUAUAACCGGCGAUUUCCGAAUGGGGAAACCCAGUGUGUUUCGACACACUAUCAUUAACUGAAUCCAUAGGUUAAUGAGGCGAACCGGGGGAACUGAAACAUCUAAGUACCCCGAGGAAAAGAAAUCAACCGAGAUUCCCCCAGUAGCGGCGAGCGAACGGGGAGCAGCCCAGAGCCUGAAUCAGUGUGUGUGUUAGUGGAAGCGUCUGGAAAGGCGCGCGAUACAGGGUGACAGCCCCGUACACAAAAAUGCACAUGCUGUGAGCUCGAUGAGUAGGGCGGGACACGUGGUAUCCUGUCUGAAUAUGGGGGGACCAUCCUCCAAGGCUAAAUACUCCUGACUGACCGAUAGUGAACCAGUACCGUGAGGGAAAGGCGAAAAGAACCCCGGCGAGGGGAGUGAAAAAGAACCUGAAACCGUGUACGUACAAGCAGUGGGAGCACGCUUAGGCGUGUGACUGCGUACCUUUUGUAUAAUGGGUCAGCGACUUAUAUUCUGUAGCAAGGUUAACCGAAUAGGGGAGCCGAAGGGAAACCGAGUCUUAACUGGGCGUUAAGUUGCAGGGUAUAGACCCGAAACCCGGUGAUCUAGCCAUGGGCAGGUUGAAGGUUGGGUAACACUAACUGGAGGACCGAACCGACUAAUGUUGAAAAAUUAGCGGAUGACUUGUGGCUGGGGGUGAAAGGCCAAUCAAACCGGGAGAUAGCUGGUUCUCCCCGAAAGCUAUUUAGGUAGCGCCUCGUGAAUUCAUCUCCGGGGGUAGAGCACUGUUUCGGCAAGGGGGUCAUCCCGACUUACCAACCCGAUGCAAACUGCGAAUACCGGAGAAUGUUAUCACGGGAGACACACGGCGGGUGCUAACGUCCGUCGUGAAGAGGGAAACAACCCAGACCGCCAGCUAAGGUCCCAAAGUCAUGGUUAAGUGGGAAACGAUGUGGGAAGGCCCAGACAGCCAGGAUGUUGGCUUAGAAGCAGCCAUCAUUUAAAGAAAGCGUAAUAGCUCACUGGUCGAGUCGGCCUGCGCGGAAGAUGUAACGGGGCUAAACCAUGCACCGAAGCUGCGGCAGCGACACUAUGUGUUGUUGGGUAGGGGAGCGUUCUGUAAGCCUGUGAAGGUGUGCUGUGAGGCAUGCUGGAGGUAUCAGAAGUGCGAAUGCUGACAUAAGUAACGAUAAAGCGGGUGAAAAGCCCGCUCGCCGGAAGACCAAGGGUUCCUGUCCAACGUUAAUCGGGGCAGGGUGAGUCGACCCCUAAGGCGAGGCCGAAAGGCGUAGUCGAUGGGAAACAGGUUAAUAUUCCUGUACUUGGUGUUACUGCGAAGGGGGGACGGAGAAGGCUAUGUUGGCCGGGCGACGGUUGUCCCGGUUUAAGCGUGUAGGCUGGUUUUCCAGGCAAAUCCGGAAAAUCAAGGCUGAGGCGUGAUGACGAGGCACUACGGUGCUGAAGCAACAAAUGCCCUGCUUCCAGGAAAAGCCUCUAAGCAUCAGGUAACAUCAAAUCGUACCCCAAACCGACACAGGUGGUCAGGUAGAGAAUACCAAGGCGCUUGAGAGAACUCGGGUGAAGGAACUAGGCAAAAUGGUGCCGUAACUUCGGGAGAAGGCACGCUGAUAUGUAGGUGAAGUCCCUCGCGGAUGGAGCUGAAAUCAGUCGAAGAUACCAGCUGGCUGCAACUGUUUAUUAAAAACACAGCACUGUGCAAACACGAAAGUGGACGUAUACGGUGUGACGCCUGCCCGGUGCCGGAAGGUUAAUUGAUGGGGUUAGCGCAAGCGAAGCUCUUGAUCGAAGCCCCGGUAAACGGCGGCCGUAACUAUAACGGUCCUAAGGUAGCGAAAUUCCUUGUCGGGUAAGUUCCGACCUGCACGAAUGGCGUAAUGAUGGCCAGGCUGUCUCCACCCGAGACUCAGUGAAAUUGAACUCGCUGUGAAGAUGCAGUGUACCCGCGGCAAGACGGAAAGACCCCGUGAACCUUUACUAUAGCUUGACACUGAACAUUGAGCCUUGAUGUGUAGGAUAGGUGGGAGGCUUUGAAGUGUGGACGCCAGUCUGCAUGGAGCCGACCUUGAAAUACCACCCUUUAAUGUUUGAUGUUCUAACGUGGACCCGUGAUCCGGGUUGCGGACAGUGUCUGGUGGGUAGUUUGACUGGGGCGGUCUCCUCCUAAAGAGUAACGGAGGAGCACGAAGGUUGGCUAAUCCUGGUCGGACAUCAGGAGGUUAGUGCAAUGGCAUAAGCCAGCUUGACUGCGAGCGUGACGGCGCGAGCAGGUGCGAAAGCAGGUCAUAGUGAUCCGGUGGUUCUGAAUGGAAGGGCCAUCGCUCAACGGAUAAAAGGUACUCCGGGGAUAACAGGCUGAUACCGCCCAAGAGUUCAUAUCGACGGCGGUGUUUGGCACCUCGAUGUCGGCUCAUCACAUCCUGGGGCUGAAGUAGGUCCCAAGGGUAUGGCUGUUCGCCAUUUAAAGUGGUACGCGAGCUGGGUUUAGAACGUCGUGAGACAGUUCGGUCCCUAUCUGCCGUGGGCGCUGGAGAACUGAGGGGGGCUGCUCCUAGUACGAGAGGACCGGAGUGGACGCAUCACUGGUGUUCGGGUUGUCAUGCCAAUGGCACUGCCCGGUAGCUAAAUGCGGAAGAGAUAAGUGCUGAAAGCAUCUAAGCACGAAACUUGCCCCGAGAUGAGUUCUCCCUGACUCCUUGAGAGUCCUGAAGGAACGUUGAAGACGACGACGUUGAUAGGCCGGGUGUGUAAGCGCAGCGAUGCGUUGAGCUAACCGGUACUAAUGAACCGUGAGGCUUAACCUU
rnacentral:rRNA from 1 species